rnacentral:rRNA from 1 species
UACGUAGGGGGCAAGCGUUGUUCGGAAUCACUGGGCGUAAAGGGCGCGUAGGCGGCCGAUCAAGUCGGGGGUGAAAGCCUGUGGCUCAACCACAGAAUUGCCUUCGAUACUGUUUGGCUUGAGACCGGAAGAGGUUAGUGGAACUGCGAGUGUAGAGGUGAAAUUCGUAGAUAUUCGCAAGAACACCAGUGGCGAAGGCGGCUGACUGGUCCGGUUCUGACGCUGAGGCGCGAAAGCGUGGGAGCAACAGG